UAAGCUAGCAGAAAAAAAGUGUAAACAAAGGGAUGAUGGGAAGUCAGGACAGGCUUACUCCACGCCAACAGUACCGUCCACAACUGAAAAUUACAACUAAAAGACCACUGGGAAUGUUUUUACAACAGAUCAAAGGAUGACUGGAGUGGGUCUUUAAUGAUUAUAACAGAGCUCUACUUUCUCUCUCAAUCUGAGGAAUUCUGCAACUCUUCUUAAUUUUUAAAGAAAAAAACUGUCAUGUUUUCAUUAAAAGAACACAUUCUACAAAAAUAAAUCCCUGAAUGUUUCCAUUUUUCCCGCAGCUCCCUGUAAAUCCUCCCUGCUUGUAAUGAUCAGCCAAGUAGGACAGCAGGAGGUGCUGUUAAGGUGCGUUUAACACCAGCCAUGGCACACACACAGAGCCUGUUGUUUCCAUGACGCAGCACGUCUCUGCAGGAAUCAGCAGGGCGAAUAGCGAGGGAAUAGGUGACACAGGGGGUAGGAGAGACAGAAGAGAAGUGUGAUGAGGACAGGAAACAAGGCAGAGGAAGUGGGAACAGAGGAGAGAUCAAACAGCCUCCACUUGUAGUUGUUGUGACUCUUAGGAAAAACAAGUAUUGCUUUUGCCAACUUCUAUUCGCUUUGUGGACUUUUUUCAAUUUAGCUGUAACUAAAAAUAAAAAAACAGUUUUUGUCAGUGUAGCCAUGGACUUCACUACUUUCUGCAGAUAUUUGUCUGCUGUGGAUGUUGCUCUACAAUCAUCUUCUGAAUCCUAGAACCAGAGCUGACAGAACAGAUGGUCCAACUCAGACGGUGAUUCACUCCGGACAAGGAAAGUGCCGCAUAGGUAGAGCGGUCGACCUCUGAGUGGAAGAUUAACUCCUGCAGAGCCAUCGUCCUCGUAGAGCUCUGCGAUCUGUAGACCAGAUGCUCUUAGUGGUUCCAAAGACUCGACUUGUGACCAAGGGGGACAGAGCGUUUUCUGUGGCUGCUCCUAAACUCUGGAAUCGUCUUCCCCUGUCAGUGAGAUCUGCCAGAUCCUUAAAUGAUUUUAAAUCUCUGCUAAAAACUCAUCUUUUUACAUUGGCUUUUAACACCAGAGAGAAUGAUAAUUCAACAGAUUUUUUAGUGUUUUCUUUUAUUGAUGAUUUUAUUAUCGUUUUACUGUGCUUCUUUGAAUUUUACCUAUGGUUUUAGUGUAUUUAUACUUGUGCAGCACUUUGGAUGUCUGGCGAAUGUG